rnacentral:rRNA from 1 species
AUGAACGCUGGCGGCGUGCCUAAUACAUGCAGGUCGAGCGAACGGACGAGAAGCUUGCUUCUCUGAUGUUAGCGGCGGACGGGUGAGUAACACGUGGAUAACCUACCUAUAAGACUGGGAUAACUUCGGGAAACCGGAGCUAAUACCGGAUAAUAUUUUGAACCGCAUGGUUCAAAAGUGAAAGACGGUCUUGCUGUCACUUAUAGAUGGAUCCGCGCUGCAUUAGCUAGUUGGUAAGGUAACGGCUUACCAAGGCAACGAUGCAUAGCCGACCUGAGAGGGUGAUCGGCCACACUGGAACUGAGACACGGUCCAGACUCCUACGGGAGGCAGCAGUAGGGAAUCUUCCGCAAUGGGCGAAAGCCUGACGGAGCAACGCCGCGUGAGUGAUGAAGGUCUUCGGAUCGUAAAACUCUGUUAUUAGGGAAGAACAUAUGUGUAAGUAACUGUGCACAUCUUGACGGUACCUAAUCAGAAAGCCACGGCUAACUACGUG